rnacentral:rRNA from 1 species
CCUACGGGUGGCAGCAGUAGGGAAUAUUGCUCAAUGGGGGAAACCCUGAAGCAGCAACGCCGCGUGGAGGCUGAAGGUUUUCGGAUUGUAAACCCCCUUUGUUAGAGAAGAUAAUGCCGGUAUCUGACGCAUAAGCACCGUCUAACUCCGUGACAGCUGCCCUGGCAAUAUGGAUGCUGCAGGCGUUACACGGAAUCACUGGGCGUAAAGCGGGCGUAGGCGGGUUAGAAAGUCAGACGUGAAAUCCUUUGGAUUAACCAUAGAACCGCAGUUGAAACUGUUAGUCUAGAGUAUGGGAGAGGUAGGUGGAAUGCUUGGUGUAGCGGUAAAAUGCGUAGAGAUCAAGAAGAAUACUCAUUGCGAAGGCAGCCUGCUAGGUCAUCACUGACGCUGAGGCACGAAAGCGUGGGGAGCAAACAGGAUUAGAUACCCUUGUAGUC